rnacentral:rRNA from 1 species
CCUACGGGUGGCAGCAGUGAGGAAUAUUGGUCAAUGGACGGAAGUCUGAACCAGCCAAGCCGCGUGCAGGAAGACGGCCCUAUGAGUUGUAAACUGCUUUUGUACAAGGGUAAACGUGAAUACGUGUAUUCAGCUGAAAGUACUGUACGAAUAAGAGUUGGCUAACCCCGUGCCAGCAGCGGCGGUAAUACGGAGGAUCGAAGCGUUAUCCGAUUUAUUGGGUUUAAAGGGUGCGCAGGCGGAUUGAUAAGUUAGAGGUGAAAUGUCCGAGCUUAACUCACGACCAGCCUCUGAGACUGGUGAUCUAGAGUGUGGGUGCGGUAUGCGGAAUGUGUGGUGUAGCGGUGAAAUGCUUAGAGAUCAUGCAGAACACCGAUUGCGAAGGCAGCUUACCAAUCUAUAUCUGACGUUGAGGCACGAAAGCGUGGGGAGCGAACAGGAUUAGAUACCCUAGUAGUC